rnacentral:rRNA from 1 species
UUGUAGGCUGAAACUCGCCUACAUGAAGCUGGAGUUACUAGUAAUCGCAGAUCAGAAUGCUGCGGUGAAUGCGUUCCCGGGUCUUGUACACACCGCCCGUCACACCACGGGAGUUGGAGACGCCCGAAGCCGAUUAUCUAACCUUUUGGAAGAAGUCGUCGAAGGUGGAAUCAAUAACUGGGGUGAAGUCGUAACAAGGUAGCCG